rnacentral:misc_RNA from 1 species
GAUGAAGAACGUAGCGAAAUGCGAUAAGUAAUGCGAAUUGCAGAAUUUCCGUGAGUCAUCGAAUCUUUGAACGCACAUUGCGCCCACUGGUAUUCCGGUGGGCAUGCCUGUUCGAGCGUCAUUAUCCUCCCUCAAACCCCGGGUUUGGUGUUGGACCGAAGUUGUGUGAACAACUGGUGUAAAAAACAAUGACGGCGUCCGUGGGACCCUCGGUGCAACGAGCUUUUAGGAGCACGCGCCGAGUUGCAAGGACCUUCCGGGCCGGUCUCCUUUUACUAUUUUACAAGGUUGACCUCGGAUCAGGUAGGAAUACCCGCUGAACUUAAGCAUAUCAAUAAGCGGAGGA